GUAGCGAAUGGGAUUAGAUACCCCAGUAGUCCACGCCGUAAACGAUGCGCACUAGGUAUUGGGAGUUUCGACCCUCUCAGUGCCGUUUAAAAAAGCUAACGCGUUAAGUGCGCCGCCUGGGGAGUACGGCCGCAAGGUUAAAACUCAAAGGAAUAGACGGGGACCCGCACAAGCGGUGGAUCAUGUGGUUUAAUUCGAUGAUACGCGGCGAACCUUACCAAGGCUUGACAUAUAGCUGCACGCUCGGGGAAACUCGAGCAGCUUUCGAAGGUGCUAUACAGAUGUUGCAUGGUUGCCGUCAGCUCGUGCCGUGAGGUGUACCGUUAAGUCGGGUAACGAGCGCAACCCUCGUCGUAUGUUAUAUGUACAUGCGAGACUGCCCGGGCAACCGGGAGGAAGGUGGGGAUGACGUCAAAUCAGCAUGACUCUUACGCCUUGGGCUACACACAUGAUACAAUGGCCAGUACAAAGAGUAGCGAAAUCGCAAGAUGAAGCCAAUCUCAAAAAGCUGGUCUCAGUUCGGAUUGUAGGCUGCAAUUCGCCUACAUGAAGUUGGAAUCGCUAGUAAUCGCGCAUCAGCCACGGCGCGAUGAAUACGUUCUCGGGUCUUGUACUCACCGCCCGUCAUACCACGAAAGUUGAUAGUGCCCGAAGGCCCUGUAUGGGGACGAAGGUAAGAUCAGUGAUCAGGGUAAAGUCGUAACAAGGCAUCCGUAGCGGAAGCUGUGGAUG
rnacentral:rRNA from 1 species